GCCGGGGUGGCGGAACUGGUAGACGCGCCGGUCUCAAAAACCGGUGAUUUCACAAUCAUGCGGGUUCGAUUCCCACCCCCGGCACCA
rnacentral:tRNA from 1 species